rnacentral:rRNA from 1 species
CAUGGCUCAGAUUGAACGCUGGCGGCAGGCUUAACACAUGCAAGUCGAACGGUAACAGGAGAAAGCUUGCUUUCUUGCUGACGAGUGGCGGACGGGUGAGUAAUGCUUGGGAAUCUGGCUUAUGGAGGGGGAUAACGACGGGAAACUGUCGCUAAUACCGCGUAGAGUCGAGAGACGAAAGUGCGGGACCGCAAGGCCGCAUGCCAUAGGAUGAGCCCAAGUGGGAUUAGGUAGUUGGUGGGGUAAAGGCCUACCAAGCCGACGAUCUCUAGCUGGUCUGAGAGGAUGACCAGCCACACCGGGACUGAGACACGGCCCGGACUCCUACGG